rnacentral:rRNA from 1 species
GGUUAAGCGACUAAGCGUACACGGUGGAUGCCCUGGCAGUCAGAGGCGAUGAAGGGCGUGCUAAUCUGCGAUAAGCGCCGGUAAGGUGAUAUGAACCGUUAUAACCGGCGAUACCCGAAUGGGGAAACCCAGUGUGACUCGUCACACUAUCAUUAACUGAAUCCAUAGGUUAAUGAGGCGAACCGGGGGAACUGAAACAUCUAAGUACCCCGAGGAAAAGAAAUCAACCGAGAUUCCCCCAGUAGCGGCGAGCGAACGGGGAGGAGCCCAGAGCCUGAAUCAGCAUGUGUGUUAGUGGAAGCGUCUGGAAAGGCGCGCGAUACAGGGUGACAGCCCCGUACACAAAAGCGCAUGUGCUGUGAGCUCGAUGAGUAGGGCGGGACACGUGGUAUCCUGUCUGAAUAUGGGGGGGCCAUCCUCCAAGGCUAAAUACUCCUGACUGACCGAUAGUGAACCAGUACCGUGAGGGAAAGGCGAAAAGAACCCCGGCGAGGGGAGUGAAAAAGAACCUGAAACCGUGUACGUACAAGCAGUGGGAGCACCCUUUGGGGUGUGACUGCGUACCUUUUGUAUAAUGGGUCAGCGACUUAUAUUCUGUAGCAAGGUUAACCGAAUAGGGGAGCCGGAGGGAAACCGAGUCUUAAUUGGGCGUUAAGUUGCAGGGUAUAGACCCGAAACCCGGUGAUCUAGCCAUGGGCAGGUUGAAGGUUGGGUAACACUAACUGGAGGACCGAACCGACUAAUGUUGAAAAAUUAGCGGAUGACCUGUGGCUGGGGGUGAAAGGCCAAUCAAACCGGGAGAUAGCUGGUUCUCCCCGAAAGCUAUUUAGGUAGCGCCUCGUGAAUUCAUCUCCGGGGGUAGAGCACUGUUUCGGCUAGGGGGCCAUCCCGGCUUACCAACCCGAUGCAAACUGCGAAUACCGGAGAAUGUUAUCACGGGAGACACACGGCGGGUGCUAACGUCCGUCGUGAAGAGGGAAACAACCCAGACCGCCAGCUAAGGUCCCAAAGUCAUGGUUAAGUGGGAAACGAUGUGGGAAGGCCCAGACAGCCAGGAUGUUGGCUUAGAAGCAGCCAUCAUUUAAAGAAAGCGUAAUAGCUCACUGGUCGAGUCGGCCUGCGCGGAAGAUGUAACGGGGCUAAACCAUGCACCGAAGCUGCGGCAGCGAACGUAUCACUUAAAGCGAUUCAGCGGGUUACGAUUGACGGAGCGAAGCGACGUCAAAGCGUAUACAAAGUCGAGUCGGUUUAAGGAUACGUUCGUUGGGUAGGGGAGCGUUCUGUAAGCCUGUGAAGGUGGCCUGUGAGGGUUGCUGGAGGUAUCAGAAGUGCGAAUGCUGACAUAAGUAACGAUAAAGCGGGUGAAAAGCCCGCUCGCCGGAAGACCAAGGGUUCCUGUCCAACGUUAAUCGGGGCAGGGUGAGUCGACCCCUAAGGCGAGGCCGAAAGGCGUAGUCGAUGGGAAACAGGUUAAUAUUCCUGUACUUGGUGUUACUGCGAAGGGGGGACGGAGAAGGCUAUGUUGGCCGGGCGACGGUUGUCCCGGUUUAAGCGUGUAGGUGUGUGUUCCAGGUAAAUCCGGUUCACUUUAACACUGAGGCGUGAUGACGAGGCACUACGGUGCUGAAGCAACAAAUGCCCUGCUUCCAGGAAAAGCCUCUAAGCAUCAGGUAACAUCAAAUCGUACCCCAAACCGACACAGGUGGUCAGGUAGAGAAUACCAAGGCGCUUGAGAGAACUCGGGUGAAGGAACUAGGCAAAAUGGUGCCGUAACUUCGGGAGAAGGCACGCUGACACGUAGGUGAAGUGAUUUACUCAUGGAGCUGAAGUCAGUCGAAGAUACCAGCUGGCUGCAACUGUUUAUUAAAAACACAGCACUGUGCAAACACGAAAGUGGACGUAUACGGUGUGACGCCUGCCCGGUGCCGGAAGGUUAAUUGAUGGGGUCAGCGCAAGCGAAGCUCCUGAUCGAAGCCCCGGUAAACGGCGGCCGUAACUAUAACGGUCCUAAGGUAGCGAAAUUCCUUGUCGGGUAAGUUCCGACCUGCACGAAUGGCGUAAUGAUGGCCAGGCUGUCUCCACCCGAGACUCAGUGAAAUUGAACUCGCUGUGAAGAUGCAGUGUACCCGCGGCAAGACGGAAAGACCCCGUGAACCUUUACUAUAGCUUGACACUGAACAUUGAGCCUUGAUGUGUAGGAUAGGUGGGAGGCUUUGAAGUGUGGACGCCAGUCUGCAUGGAGCCGACCUUGAAAUACCACCCUUUAAUGUUUGAUGUUCUAACGUGGACCCGUAAUCCGGGUUGCGGACAGUGUCUGGUGGGUAGUUUGACUGGGGCGGUCUCCUCCUAAAGAGUAACGGAGGAGCACGAAGGUUGGCUAAUCCUGGUCGGACAUCAGGAGGUUAGUGCAAUGGCAUAAGCCAGCUUGACUGCGAGCGUGACGGCGCGAGCAGGUGCGAAAGCAGGUCAUAGUGAUCCGGUGGUUCUGAAUGGAAGGGCCAUCGCUCAACGGAUAAAAGGUACUCCGGGGAUAACAGGCUGAUACCGCCCAAGAGUUCAUAUCGACGGCGGUGUUUGGCACCUCGAUGUCGGCUCAUCACAUCCUGGGGCUGAAGUAGGUCCCAAGGGUAUGGCUGUUCGCCAUUUAAAGUGGUACGCGAGCUGGGUUUAGAACGUCGUGAGACAGUUCGGUCCCUAUCUGCCGUGGGCGCUGGAGAACUGAGGGGGGCUGCUCCUAGUACGAGAGGACCGGAGUGGACGCAUCACUGGUGUUCGGGUUGUCAUGCCAAUGGCACUGCCCGGUAGCUAAAUGCGGAAGAGAUAAGUGCUGAAAGCAUCUAAGCACGAAACUUGCCCCGAGAUGAGUUCUCCCUGAGACUUAGAGUCUCCUGAAGGAACGUUGAAGACGACGACGUUGAUAGGCCGGGUGUGUAAGCGCAGCGAUGCGUUGAGCUAACCGGUACUAAUGAACCGUGAGGCUUAACCUU